CUUAUCACUCGGUGCAAGAUUCCCAGUCCCUAACAGUCCUCCUGGCUACCUCCUUGUCAGGUGUCUGCCCUUGCCUGUAUCAGCCUGAGGAAGAGAAGUAUUUGCCACCGGCCAGAAGAGAGCAGCUCCAGAAGGAAGAGCUGAUAAAUUGUAAGAAGGACAAGGCUUCUGUAAAAUUGCCCAGCUCUCUUGUCAUGGUUGUGACUUCUGCAUCCCCUUUAAUCUCUCAAAGAUCAUCUUAAUCUUCUAAGAUUUUGAAGGCCAAAGAAGCAUUUUGAUCUAUCCUAGGAGCUAGAGGCUGGUGUGUGACAUUUUGACUAAAGGACCUAGUUACAUUGUGAAGAGAGGAAAGUACCCUUUAGGUUUUCGUGAAAGAGAAGAUAUUUGACACUAAAAGGUAGCAAGAAUUUUUCUGCAUUCUCUGCUAGAGGUGUUUGCACACAACUUUGGUUCCCCUGGAGUGACCCACGUACUCUCUGAAACGCCACUCAUCCUUCAGGACCACUUCUCCAUAAAGUUUUUCAUGGGAUACAUUGGCCUCUCAUACUUCAGUUUAAUGUUCCAGUGAUGGCUAUAUAAUCUGCCAGGAUACCUCCAAAGUAGCAAAACAAGCGAGAUACAUCACAGAUGUCCCUGUUAAAUCCUCUUCAACCCACAUACAAGAUGGAACUCACGGCUGGACCCACACUCCCUGUGAGAACUUUCCCUCUCACAUACGUUGGAGAAAAGAACUUUUUUUCAAGGCACAACAAAAUUACUUCUGCAGGCCUGGGGCAGACCAGUGGCAUAGAGCCCACCCAAAGUUGCUUCAUCCCAAUGUCUCCAGUACCCAGCUGAGACAAAUCCUUGUCUUCAAACUCCUUGAAGCUGAACUGGGUGAACGCUCUGAGUGGUCCGGUUUCUCUGAGGAACGGGUUAGCCAGCUGACCCGCAAUGUGGAAAGUAAGCUGGAAAAGUGCGAAGUGUUCGGUGACUCUCCAGAUAUUUCUUGAACAUGUAGAGAACAACCAAAAUAAACAAAAAUAUA